GAUGAAGAACGCAGCGAAAUGCGAUACUUGGUGUGAAUUGCAGAAUCCCGUGAACCGUCGAGUCUUUGAACGCAAGUUGCGCCUCAAGCCAUUAGGUUGAGGGCACGUCUGCCUGGGCGUCACAUAUCGUUGCCUGAUGCCAGUUUCCUCGUGAUGGGUGACUGUGCAGGGCGAAUGAUGGCUUCCCGUGAGCAUUGUUGCCUCAUGGUUGGUUGAAAAUUGAGUCCUUGGUAGGGAGCGCCGUGAUAGAUGGUGGUUGAGUGACGAACGAGACCCAAUCAUGUGAGACCCCUACCGAAUUUGGCCUUCAUGACCCACAUGCGUCUUUGGAACGCUCAUGACGAGACCUCAGGUCAGGCGGGGCUACCCGCUGAGUUUAAGCAUAUCAAUAAGCGGAGGA
rnacentral:misc_RNA from 1 species